rnacentral:lncRNA from 1 species
AACGAUGUUAAGGAAAUAUACGAAUGUAAAGACGAAUACAAGAACGAUAAGAAAUCGUAUUCGCAAAGAGACAUGGAGUCGAGAUAUGAUCUCUUUCCUUAACUCAAAAUAUUCGCUCCGUUAGUGAGACGGAACUGUACGAAUAAAGAGUCCCAGGAUAAAACCAUGGCAGACGAAUCACGCCUCACUCGUGAUCGCCCUAUCGAACUAUAAACUCUACGAAACACUCUCGCAAAAUAGACUUACGCAGAG